GAUGAAGAACGUAGCGAAAUGCGAUAAGUAAUGUGAAUUGCAGAAUUCAGUGAAUCAUCGAAUCUUUGAACGCACAUUGCGCCCUCUGGUAUUCCGGGGGGCAUGCCUGUUCGAGCGUCAUUAUAACCACUCAAGCUCUCGCUUGGUAUUGGGGUUCGCGGUUCCGCGGCCCCUAAAAUCAGUGGCGGUGCCUGUCGGCUCUACGCGUAGUAAUACUCCUCGCGAUUGAGUCCGGUAGGUCUACUUGCCAGCAACCCCCAAUUUUUACAGGUUGACCUCGGAUCAGGUAGGGAUACCCGCUGAACUUAAGCAUAUCAAUAACGGAGGA
rnacentral:misc_RNA from 1 species